GGUGUUUGUUUCAAAUUUUAGUGGGAUUUUAUUGACAAAUAGAAAUUGAACCAUAAGAUUUCAAAUUCAUUAUUGUCAAUCUCCUUUGGUGAAUUAGUUAGUUGGUGGGGCAAUAGCUUACCAAGGCGAUGAUCAGUAGCUGGUCCGAGAGGAUGAUCAACCACACUAGGACUGAGACAUGACCUAGACUCCUACGGGAG
rfam:Lupinus angustifolius cultivar Tanjil chromosome LG09, whole genome shotgun sequence.